GACGAUGUCCUGGCGGAUGCACGCUGGCGUGGGUUUCUGCAAACGGCCCGCAAUAUUAUCAUGAGAGUCGUCCCACGGCAAAAUUUCCUAGCUCUGUUUCCUAGCUGUUUAGCAAAGACCUCCAGGAAAAUGAUAAAUAGAAGUGGUGGGCUUCCUUGUCUUGAAGUACUUUCAGUAUUUCACCAUGAUAUAGGUUCUUCUUUAGUUGAAGUGUCAAGAAACCAUAGAAUGAGUUGAUUUCACCAGCAAGCCAUCUGGGCCAGAAGUUCUCUUCGUGAAUACAAAGUUGCAUUUUUCAAGCACUUUAUCUCAGCUGAAUUUUCAAAUUUAUUG